rnacentral:rRNA from 1 species
GACGAACGCUGGCGGCGUGCCUAAUACAUGCAAGUCGAACGCUGAAGUGAGGAGCUUGCUCUUCUUGGAUGAGUUGCGAACGGGUGAGUAACGCGUAGGUAACCUGCCUUGUAGCGGGGGAUAACUAUUGGAAACGAUAGCUAAUACCGCAUAACAAUGGAUGACACAUGUCAUUUAUUUGAAAGUGGCAAUUGCUCCACUACAAGAUGGACCUGCGUUGUAUUAGCUAGUAGGUGAGGUAAUGGCUCACCUAGGCGACGAUACAUAGCCGACCUGAGAGGGUGAUAGGCCACACUGGGACGGGGACACGGCCCAGACUCCUACGGGAGGGAGCAGUAGGGGAUCUUCGGCAAUGGGGGCAACCCUGACCGAGCAACGCCGCGUGAGUGAAGAAGGGUUUCGGGUCGUGAAGCUCAGUUGUAAGUCAAGAACGGGUGUGAGAGUGGAAAGUUCACACUGUGACGGUAGCUGAACAGAAAGGGACGGCUAACUACGUG